UUUUAUUUUUAUUCUAAAAAUUGUACGUCUGUAUUACUUUUUACUGUUACUUUAUACGCUAUAAAAAAUGUAUUACGUUUAUAAAUGUGAUUUUUAUGGUCAUUUUAAAGGCAAAACGUAUUUUUUAAAAAAAAAAAAACUUUAUUGAGAUGCAUAUUGACUAAUUAAACUGUUUCACAGAAACGUACAGCUGCCAUAAGCUAUUUCCUGGGUUCCUUUCCUCUAUUGACGUCCUUGGGUUUUAGGUUUUCUUCCUGUUACACAUCUGCCUGUCGUAUGUUGUCUGCUUGGAGGUAUAAUUCUGCAGGAAACUCCUUACAAAAUAUUAAUUUUAUUAUAAUUUUUUCACGCCUCGCUUUAAUCAGGAAACACGAACAACUUUCUAUUUUUGUUUGCAGGAAAAUUUUACUGGGCUGUGUAUAUUCCUAUACACAAUACUUGCCAUACUCGAUCGUUUAUAAAUAAAUAAAUAAAUGACCGCACGCCACGUUUUCGGAAUUCUCGCGUGGUUUAUAUAUGACACAGUUACAAGAAAAUUCGCUUUUUCUCUCCUUCCUUCUUUAUGUGAUGUGGAAGCAGUAAGAUCUUUAUUGGAAUUCCUUCGGAUGCAGAGGCUGUAUCUCAAUUUCUCUUUUAAACAUAGACGUUUAAGCGAAGCGAGACAAAAUUUCCGAUCGGUCGAGUCACUGCAUCACAAAAUAUACGCAUCGCCAUGACGUCCCGUUUUAUGAAGUCCAUUAUAUAUAUAUAUAUAUAUAACAGUUAACAAAUGCGACAACUGCUUCAGUAAUUGAUCACGG
rnacentral:lncRNA from 1 species